rnacentral:rRNA from 1 species
GACGAACGCUGGCGGCGUGCUUAACACAUGCAAGUCGAACGGAAAGGCCCUGCUUUUGUGGGGUGCUCGAGUGGCGAACGGGUGAGUAACACGUGAGUAACCUGCCCUUGACUUUGGGAUAACUUCAGGAAACUGGGGCUAAUACCGGAUAGGAGCUCCUGCUGCAUGGUGGGGGUUGGAAAGUUUCGGCGGUUGGGGAUGGACUCGCGGCUUAUCAGCUUGUUGGUGGGGUAGUGGCUUACCAAGGCUUUGACGGGUAGCCGGCCUGAGGGUGACCGGCCACAUUGGGACUGAGAUACGGCCCAGACUCCUACGGGAGGCAGCAGUGGGGAAUAUUGCACAAUGGGCGGAAGCCUGAUGCAGCAACGCCGCGUGCGGGAUGACGGCCUUCGGGUUGUAAACCGCUUUCGCCUGUGACGAAGCGUGAGUGACGGUAAUGGGUAAAGAAGCACCGGCUAACUACGUG